GAUGGCUUAAGUGGUUAGAGCAUCUACCUCGAAUGUGGAAGGUCGCAGGUUCGAACCCCGGCCGAGUAUUACCA